AAUAAAUCCAUUUUUUCUUCACCAAUUGGG
rnacentral:piRNA from 1 species